CCUACGGGAGGCAGCAGUGGGGAAUCUUCCGCAAUGGACGAAAGUCUGACGGAGCAACGCCGCGUGAGUGAAGAAGGUUUUCGAAUCGUAAAGCUCUGUUGUCAGGGACGAGCAGGGGGAGUAUCAACAACACUCUCUCAUGACGGUACCUGACGAGGAAGCCACGGCUAACUACGUGCCAGCAGCCGCGGUAAU
rnacentral:rRNA from 1 species